GGUGAACGCUGGCGGUAGGCCUAACACAUGCAAGUCGAGCGGCAGCACAGUAAGCGCUUGCUCUUACUGGUGGCGGGUGGCGGGCGGGUGAGGCAUACAUCGGCAUUUACUUUUUCGUGGGUGAUAACGUAGGGCAACUUACGCUAAUACCUCAUACUACCUACGGGUUAAAGCAGAAGAUCUUCGGACCUUUCGCGAUUGUAUGAGCCGAUGUCGGAUUAGCUAGUUGGCGGGGUAAGGGCCCACCAAGGCGACGAUCCGUAGCUGGUCUGAGAGGAUGAUCAGCCACACUGGAACUGAGACACGGUCCAGACUCCUACGGGAGGCAGCAGUGGGGAAUAUUGGACAAUGGGCGAAAGCCUGAUGCAGCAAUACCGCGUGGGUGAAGAAGGCCUUCGGGUUGUAAAGCUCUUUUGUUGGGAAAGAAAAGAAGCAGGUUAAUACCCCGAUGUUUUGACGGUACCCAAAGAAUAAGCACCGGCUAACUUCGUG
rnacentral:rRNA from 1 species